rnacentral:rRNA from 1 species
GGUACCUACGGGGGGCAGCAGUGGGGAAUAUUGCACAAUGGAGGGAACUCUGAUGCAGCGACGCCGCGUGAGUGAAGAAGUAAUUCGUUAUGUAAAGCUCUCUCAGCAGGGAAGAAAGUGACGGUACCUGAAAAAGAAGCUCCGGCUAAAUACGUGCCAGCAGCCGCGGUAAUACGUAUGGAGCAAGCGCUAUCCGGAAUUACUGGGUGUAAAGGGAGAGUAGGCGGCAAGGUAAGCGAUAUGUGAAAGCCUUAGGCUUAACCAAAG